CACAGCCAGGACUUAACAGGAGAGCAUGAGCAUCUUAAUUGACGCUGCUUGUUGUUGGGAAACACAAGCGAGGAGGUUAAAGAGAGCAAGCUGUGACGUCCAAGAGAGGAUUCAGCAGCUGAAGACGGGCCCGCGUUGGGUUCUGGAGGUUGGACGAAGAUGGGCCCUCGGUGGGUGCCGGAGGAUGGAGAAAAGAUGAUGAGGAGCAUCUGCCAAUGGAGGUUACGACAAAUGCAGAACAGGACACCUGAAAGACGGAUCUCUGGUAAUGAAG